GUGUCAGCAGCCGCGGUAAUACGUAGGUGGCGAGCGUUGUCCGGAUUUACUGGGCGUAAAGAGCCCGCAGGCGGUCCGUUAAGUUUCAGGUGAAAUCUCCCGGCUCAACCGGGAGGGUGCCUGGAAAACUGGCGGACUUGAGGCAGGGAGAGGGAUGUGGAAUUCCCGGUGUAGUAGUGAAAUGCGUAGAUAUCGGGAGGAACACCAGUGGCGAAGGCGGCAUCCUGGCCCUGUCCUGACGCUCAGGGGCGAAAGCGUGGGGAGCAAACCGGAUUAGAAACCCCCGUAGUCC
rnacentral:rRNA from 1 species